rnacentral:rRNA from 1 species
UUAGCCGUGGCUUUCUGAUUAGGUACCGUCAAGAUGUGCACAGUUACUUACACAUUUGUUCUUCCCUAAUAACAGAGUUUUACGAGCCGAAACCCUUCAUCACUCACGCGGCGUUGCUCCGUCAGGCUUUCGCCCAUUGCGGAAGAUUCCCUACUGCUGCCUCCCGUAGGAGUCUGGACCGUGUCUCAGUUCCAGUGUGGCCGAUCACCCUCUCAGGUCGGCUACGUAUCGUCGCCUUGGUAAGCCGUUACCUUACCAACUAGCUAAUACGGCGCGGGUCCAUCUAUAAGUGAUAGCAAAACCAUCUUUCACUUUAGAACCAUGCGGUUCUAAAUGUUAUCCGGUAUUAGCUCCGGUUUCCCGAAGUUAUCCCAGUCUUAUAGGUAGGUUACCCACGUGUUACUCACCCGUCCGCCGCUAACUUCAAAGGAGCAAGCUCCUUAUCUGUUCGCUCGACUUGCAUGUAUUAGGCACGCCGCCAGCGUUCAUCCUGAGCCAGGAUCAAACUCUAA